UUUUACGUGAUGAACGAAUAACUUUCGCCCCUAACUGAAAUAUAAAUUUCAUGUUGAAUGCGAAUUGAUUGGUCUUACUGAUUUUAUUAAAAACUA